GCCCGGGUGGUGGAAUGGUAGACACAGGGGACUUAAAAUCCCCCGGUCAUUGCGACCGUGCCGGUUCGAGUCCGGCUCCGGGUACCA
rnacentral:tRNA from 1 species